rnacentral:rRNA from 1 species
UACGGAGGGGGCUAGCGUUGUUCGGAAUUACUGGGCGUAAAGCGCACGUAGGCGGCUUUGUAAGUUAGAGGUGAAAGCCCGGGGCUCAACUCCGGAAUUGCCUUUAAGACUGCAUCGCUAGAAUUGUGGAGAGGUAAGUGGAAUUCCGAGUGUAGAGGUGAAAUUCGUAGAUAUUCGGAAGAACACCAGUGGCGAAGGCGGCUCACUGGUCCAUUACUGACGCUGAGGUGCGAAAGCGUGGGGAGCAAACAGG